UACAGAGGUCCCAAGCGUUGUUCGGAUUCACUGGGCGUAAAGGGUGCGUAGGCGGUCGGGUAAGUCUGAUGUGAAAUCUCACAGCUUAACUGUGAAACUGCAUUGGAUACUAUCCGGCUAGAGGAAUGGAGAGGAGACUGGAAUACUUGGUGUAGCAGUGAAAUGCGUAGAUAUCAAGAGGAACACCAGUGGCGAAGGCGAGUCCCUGGACAACUUCUGACGCUGAGGCACGAAAGCUAGGGGAGCAAACAGG
rnacentral:rRNA from 1 species